rnacentral:rRNA from 1 species
UACGGAGGGUGCAAGCGUUAUCCGGAUUUACUGGGUUUAAAGGGUGCGCAGGCGGAUAUGUAAGUCAGUGGUGAAAUCUCCGGGCUUAACCCGGAACUGCCGUUGAUACUAUAUAUCUUGAAUGCUGUGGAGGUAAGCAGAAUAUGUCAUGUAGCGGUGAAAUGCUUAAGAUGACAUAGAAUACCUAUUGCGAAGGCAGCUUACUACGCAGAUAUUGACGCUCAUGCACGAAAGCGUGGGGAUCAAACAGG